AGAGUUUGAUCCUGGCUCAGGAUGAACGCUAGCUAUAGGCUUAACACAUGCAAGUCGAGGGGCAGCAUGGUCUUAGCUUGCUAAGGCCGAUGGCGACCGGCGCACGGGUGAGUAACGCGUAUCCAACCUGCCUUACACUCUUGGACAGCCUUCUGAAAGGGAGAUUAAUACAAGAUGUUAUCAUGAGUAAGCAUUUUCGCAUGAUUAAAGGUUUACCGGUGUAAGAUGGGGAUGCGUUCCAUUAGAUAGUAGGCGGGGUAACGGCCCACCUAGUCUUCGAUGGAUAGGGGUUCUGAGAGGAAGGUCCCCCACAUUGGAACUGAGACACGGUCCAAACUCCUACGGGAGGCAGCAGUGAGGAAUAUUGGUCAAUGGACGAGAGUCUGAACCAGCCAAGUAGCGUGAAGGAUGAAGGUUCUAUGGAUUGUAAACUUCUUUUAUACGGGAAUAAACGGAUCCACGUGUGGAUUUUUGCAUGUACCGUAUGAAUAAGGAUCGGCUAACUCCGUGCCAGCAGCCGCGGUAAUACGGAGGAUCCGAGCGUUAUCCGGAUUUAUUGGGUUUAAAGGGAGCGUAGAUGGGUUGUUAAGUCAGUUGUGAAAGUUUGCGGCUCAACCGUAAAAUUGCAAUUGAUACUGGCAGUCUUGAGUACAGUUGAGGUAGGCGGAAUUCGUGGUGUAGCGGUGAAAUGCUUAGAUAUCACGAAGAACUCCGAUUGCGAAGGCAGCUUACUAACCUGUAACUGACAUUGAUGCUCGAAAGUGUGGGUAUCAAACAGGAUUAGAUACCCUGGUAGUCCACACGGUAAACGAUGAAUACUCGCUGUAGGCGAUAUACAGUCUGCGGCCAAGCGAAAGCAUUAAGUAUUCCACCUGGGGAGUACGCCGGCAACGGUGAAACUCAAAGGAAUUGACGGGGGCCCGCACAAGCGGAGGAACAUGUGGUUUAAUUCGAUGAUACGCGAGGAACCUUACCCGGGCUUAAAUUGCAACCGAAUAUGGCGGAAACGCUAUAGCUAGCAAUAGCGGUUGUGAAGGUGCUGCAUGGUUGUCGUCAGCUCGUGCCGUGAGGUGUCGGCUUAAGUGCCAUAACGAGCGCAACCCUUGCCGAUAGUUACUAACAGGUUAUGCUGAGGACUCUGUCGGGACUGCCAUCGUAAGAUGUGAGGAAGGUGGGGAUGACGUCAAAUCAGCACGGCCCUUACGUCCGGGGCUACACACGUGUUACAAUGGGGGGUACAGAGGGCUGCUACCACGCAAGUGGAUGCCAAUCCCAAAAACCUCUCUCAGUUCGGAUUGAAGUCUGCAACCCGACUUCAUGAAGCUGGAUUCGCUAGUAAUCGCGCAUCAGCCACGGCGCGGUGAAUACGUUCCCGGGCCUUGCACACACCGCCCGUCA
rnacentral:rRNA from 1 species